rnacentral:rRNA from 1 species
CAGCAGUCGCCACGGUAAUCCGAAGGGUGCAAGCGUUAAUCGGAAUUACUGGGCGUAAAGCGUGCGUAGGCGGUGAGUUAAGUCUGCUGUGAAAUCCCCGGGCUCAACCUGGGAAUGGCAGUGGAUACUGGCUCGCUAGAGUGUGUCAGAGGAUGGUGGAAUUCCCGGUGUAGCGGUGAAAUGCGUAGAGAUCGGGAGGAACAUCAGUGGCGAAGGCGGCCAUCUGGGACAACACUGACGCUGAGGCACGAAAGCGUGGGGAGCAAACAGGAUUAGAUACCCGCGUAGUCCCUGUCUCUUAUAC